CAGCAGCCACGGUAAUACGAAGGGGGCUAGCGUUGUUCGGAUUUACUGGGCGUAAAGCGCUCGUAGGCGGACUUUUAAGUCAGGGGUGAGAUCCCGGGGCUCAACCCCGGAACUGCCUUUGAUACUGGGAGUCUUGAGUUCGAGAGAGGUGAGUGGAAUUCCGAGUGUAGAGGUGAAAUUCGUAGAUAUUCGGAGGAACACCAGUGGCGAAGGCGGCUCACUGGACCAUUACUGACGCUGAGGUGCGAAAGCGUGGGGAGCAAACAGGAUUAGAUACCCCUGUAGUCCCUGUCUCUUAUAC
rnacentral:rRNA from 1 species